GACGAACGCGGCGGCGUGCUUAACACAUGCAAGUCGAACGAAGAGCGAUGGAAGCUUGCUUCUAUCAAUCUUAGUGGCGAACGGGUGAGUAACGCGUAAUCAACCUGCCCUUCAGAGGGGGACAACAGUUGGAAACGACUGCUAAUACCGCAUACGAUUCAACCUUGGCAUCGAGGAUGAAUGAAAGGUGGCCUCUACAUGUAAGCUAUCACUGAAGGAGGGGAUUGCGUCUGAUUAGCUAGUUGGAGGGGUAACGGCCCACCAAGGCGAUGAUCAGUAGCCGGUCUGGGAGGAUGAACGGCCACAUUGGGACUGAGACACGGCCCAGACUCCUACGGGAGGCAGCAGUGGGGAAUCUUCCGCAAUGGACGAAAGUCUGACGGAGCAACGCCGCGUGAGUGAUGACGGCCUUCGGGUUGUAAAGCUCUGUUAAUCGGGACGAAAGGUCUUCUUGCGAAUAGUUAGAAGAAUUGACGUACCGGAAUAGAAAGCCACG
rnacentral:rRNA from 1 species